rnacentral:lncRNA from 1 species
UCACCACCUAAUCAGGUGAGUGCAUAGUUAGUUUCAGCUUACACAUAGAUAUGAAGUAUUUUAUAUAAAUUACGUGCUAUGUGUGCAUAUUAUCUGAAUACUUGCUAUCUAUGCUGGAUGAACAUUGUUAUACAUGUUUUCAAUGAUUUAAACUGUAUAUGUAUUUUAUAUCUACGAAAAUGUUGGGGUAAAACAUGGGUAGAUGCAAUAGGUGAUGUGUGAUAAAAUGAUGAGAGGCCUCGAUGUUGAUGUUGUUGAUUCUGUCAUCUAGCGGAGUAUGGAUGACGACCACGGACUCUUCUAGACAGUCCAGUGGAACACUAGCAGGCUCGCAACCUGUAGGUGUUUGUGAACGAUGUGUUCACCGGUGUACUCCAUCCCCCACAUGGUUGCCUUUAGGACAUUUAUUGCUGAGGAAUCCCCUUAGCAGUAGUGUCCGUCCCGAUGAUGAUCCUUAGGCUAGGUCCCUUAUGAUAGGUGUUUAGGGACGUAAAGUGAGGAUAACGGGAACGGGUAAUCGGGUUAUUGUUGAUUGAUGAAAUUAAUAAACUUAUUUAUUGUGGGUUGAAAACCCUAUGUGCUCACCAGGCUCCCAAGCCUGACCCACUCAGUUUUAUGUAUUACAGGUAGUGGCGCAUGAGCAUAGGUGUGAUGUUUUGGACGAGGGAUUACGGAUAUAGGCCUGUAGAUAUGAAAUAAUGUAGUAAGGCUUAUAUUGUACUGUUUAUGCUUUUGAUCUGUACGAACAUGACAUCCCGAGUCUUUUAAUGAAAUACAUUUCUAUGGAAAUGCUUUUGAUAAAUCUUUAUCAUAUUUUUGUUUUGGGACAAAUUCCGCAACACUUUCAUUUAAAAUGUAACUCUGAUUUUUAAACAAAGCAUAAACAAACCGGUCUUUUCUGGCCGUGAUUUUGGGGAUGUCACAGUUGGUAUCAGAGCAUUAGUUUAAGCGAACUAGGAAUUUGUAGGAUUUCUAGACUUAAACUUAGAAUGCUAAGCGAUGAUUGUGAGGUGUGAGCACUAGCUUAUUUUAGGAAUUGUGCCUAAAAUGCUUUUAUGUGCUAAAUGCUUUGUGCAUGAUAUGCUGUUAUUUGUUCGGAUCUAUGGUCUGUUGCCGACCGGAUCUGGAAACCUUAUGUGUUUAGGAUUCUAAACGUACGACUACGAUAUUAGAACUAGCAUGUAAACGUUUCGGAGUGAUAAGGAUGAUUUAAACGUCUAUCCUAAAUAAAGAUCUAAAUUCACCUUAUUCGGUGUAUAGAUCAAGAUGGCAAGGACCCGUAGCGGAAACGUGAACGCAAAUAGAGAUAGGAACCAACCCCCAGUGGUUCAACAAAUACAUGUUGUAGAAGAAGUAGCACCUGAGUCAGUCAUCAUGGCUGGAGUUCAAGCCAUGAUUCAGGCUAUGCUAGCUGAACAAAGGGAAGAAAUGAGACGGAUGCUCCACGAAAAUACAGACGAACCUACCAUACAUGUUGAACCGACAGAUCUAGUUCCCGAGCAAUCUGAGGAAGGGAACUAUAGCCGCCAAGUGAGUCAAGUAGGGACUCAAGGUGAGCAAAGGGAUGGCCCAGUAGGGAGAAACAACAAGGAUGGGUGGAUGUACAAAAAUUUCUUGGGUGCGAAACCAACAAAUCUCUUAGGAAGCCCAAAUCCUGUUGAGAUUAUGGACUGGAUCUCCGAGAUGGAGAUGGUGUUUGAGAGCUGCGACUGCAGCGUGAAGCAAAAGACUGUCUUCGCUGUGAGACAAUUGAAAAUUGGAGUCUUGAGCUGGUGGAAGCUAUUGGCAGAUACAAUGCCACGAGGAGAAGCUCUGAAAAUGUCAUGGGAUGAGUUCUUGGAACAACUGAAGGUGCAAUACUGUUCAGAGAUAGACCUGAUUGAUUUGAACAAUGAGUUACAAAAUUCGAGGAAGGGGAGGAUGAGCAUCGAUGACUAUGCUGUUGCAUUCACGGAAAAGAUGAAGUUGUUCUCAUACCUAGUGUCAACCGAAAUUUCCAAAAUUGAGAAGUUCGCAAACGGACUGCCGGCGGACUUUGGCCCAACAGUCAAGAUGGCAACCACUCUGAAAUCAGCUGUUCGAGCAGCUAAGAACGUGGAGACCCAACAAAAGGAAAGAGGUCUGGAGAGGGCUGAGGUUGGUGAGAAACGGAAGUUCAAUGGAUCCUCGAAGUCCAACAAGAAGAGUAGAUUCUCGAAGUCUGGUUCGAGGGGAGGAGGAUCAGAAGCGAAGUGGUGUGACAAGUGCAAGAAGAAGCACUCUGGGAAGUGUGACGGAGGGGUCACUUGUUACAAGUGCGGAAAGCCUGGGCACUAUGCCAAUGAAUGCACCCUCAACCAGAAAGCCUGUUAUGGGUGCAAUGAAGAAGGGCACAUUUUGAAGGACUGCCCGAAGAAGAAGGAGACAGGAAGACCCAACAUACCACCGAAGCCGAAGGCGAGAGCCUUCCAGAUGACGCUCGAGGCUGCAAAGGAGGCAGCAGACGUCGCUUCAGGUACCUUUCUUGUAAAUGGUUUUCCUGCAAAUAUACUAUUUGAUUCCGGAGCCAAAUACUCCUUUGUGUCGCAUAAAUUUGGUGGGAAAUUAGCAUUGCCUGUAGAAAAACUUGAUAAUGCCCUGAUUGUAGAAGUUGCCAGUGGCAAAUUCGUACCUGUUAGUAAUCGUAUUAGGAACAUCGUCAUUGAACUAAACGGAAACAAAUUACACGAAGAGCUAUUACCCAUAGAGUUAAACGGUUUCGACAUCAUUUUGGAGAUGGAUUGGCUUAGCGCCAACGAUGCUGAGAUUCAAUGCCGAAAGAAGAUAGUAAGGGUGAACCCACCCGGAAAGGAAUCAGUUAUGGUGUACGGGGAUAAACGUAGAGUGAAUUCUGGAAUCAUCGAUGUGCUUCGUACUUGGCAUUCGCAAUCGAUGCUAAGAAGGAGAAGAAAUAGGUGCAGAAUAUACUGGUUGUGUGUGAUUAUCCGGAAGUCUUUCCCGAAGAUCUUCCCGGAUUACCACCUGAUAGGCAAGUGGAGUUUCGUAUAGACUUGUUACCAGGAACAACACCGAUAGCAAAGGCACCUUACCGAUUAGCACCGACGGAGAUGAAGGAGCUCAUGACGCAACUUCAGGAGCUGUUGGACAACGGUUUUAUUCGACCUAGUUCAUCACCCUGGGGAGCUCCGGUGUUAUUCGUGAAGAAGAAGGACGGAAGUAUGAGAAUGUGUAUAGACUACCGAGAGCUGAAUAAGGCAACGGUGAAGAACAAGUAUCCAUUGCCGAGGAUUGAUGACCUAUUCGAUCAGCUGCAAGGUUCGAGCUACUUCUCAAAGAUCGAUCUUAGGUCAGGAUAUCAUCAGCUGAAGGUGAGAGAGCAGGAUAUUGAGAAGACUGCAUUCAGAACAAGAUAUGGACACUACGAGUUCUUGGUUAUGUCAUUCGGGCUAACCAAUGCUCCCGCAGCAUUCAUGGAUUUGAUGAAUAGGGUUUGUAAACCAUUCCUCGAUAAAUCCGUGAUAGUGUUCAUCGACGACAUUCUCAUCUACUCGAAAAGCCAGGAGGAGCAUGGCAAGCAUCUACGAGAAGUGUUGGAAGUAUUAAAGAAGGAGAAGCUUUACGCUAAGUUCUCCAAAUGCGACUUUUGGAUAUGAGAGGUCCAGUUCUUGGGUCACGUGGUUAACCAGGAAGGGAUAAUGGUUGACCUCGCAAAGAUCGAGGCUGUAAUGAAGUGGGAAUGUCCAAAGAGUCCCACGGAGAUCCGAAGCUUUCUAGGAUUAGCCGGAUAUUAUCGACGAUUUAUCCAAGGCUUUUCUUCGAUAACUGCUCCAUUAACAUCGUUGACCCACAAAGGAGCUACAUAUACGUGGAGUGAGAAGCACGAUGAGGCAUUCGAGAAGCUAAAGAAGAAGUUAUGUGAAGCACCGAUACUUUCUCUACCCGAUGGAGUUGAAGACUUUGCGGUUUAUAGCGAUCCAUCUGGAGUCGGGUUGGGUUGUGUUCUGACCCAAAGAGAAAAGGUGAUAGCAUACGCAUCUCGACAAUUGAAAGAGCACGAAAAGAACUACCCCACUCAUGAUCUGGAGUUGGCAGCGGUAGUAUUUGCCUUAAAGAUAUGGAGGCAUUACCUCUACGGCACGAAGUGCAAGCUCUUCACUGAUCAUAAGAGUCUCCAGUAUCUCUUUAAUCAGAAGGAGUUGAACAUGAGGCAACGACGCUGGCUAGAACUUCUCAAGGACUACGACUGUGAGAUACUUUACCACCCAGGUAAAGCAAAUAUUGUUGCUGAUGCUCUCAGUCGGAAAGUCAAUCUUGAAAGGAAAAGGCCAAGAGCGUUAAGAAUUGAAGUCGUCUCGACGAUUGUGGAAAGUAUCAGGAAAGCUCAAGAAGAAGCUUUAGAGAAAAAUGACCGAAAGGAAGAACGUUUGGGAAGAACGUUAGUGUUUGGUACAAACAGUCGAGGACUGAAGGUAUUCCAAGAUCGAAUUUGGGUACCUAAGACGGGAGGAAUAAGAGAUCUUCUGAUGGAAGAAGCACACAAGACCAUGUACUCGAUUCAUCCCGGUAGCACUAAAAUGUAUAGGGACCUAAAACCCUACUACUGGUGGCCGACGAUGAAGCUCGAUGUUGCGAAGUAUGUGGCCGAGUGCGUAACAUGUGCGAGGGUUAAGGCACAACAUCAGAAACCGUAUGGGAGUUUAGAACCUUUACCUGUACCCAUGGGUAAAUGGGAAGACAUCACCAUGGAUUUUGUGACUAAACUGCCCAGGACGAAGAACGGUCACGACAUGAUUUGGGUAGUCGUGGAUCGUUUCACCAAGAGUGCACACUUCAUAGCAGCCAACGAGAAGUGGUCUAUGGAUAAGCUCGCAAAUGCUUACGUGAAGGAAAUUGUAAGACUUCACGGUGUCCCUCUUACGAUUGUAUCAGAUCGUGAUAGUCGUUUCACGUCAAGGUUUUGGAGGAGUCUACAAGAGGAGUUAGGUACAAAGUUGUGUUUGAGUACUGCUUAUCAUCCGCAAACUGAUGGUCAGAGCGAAAGAACGAUUCAGACGCUGGAAGAUAUGCUGAGAGCAUGUACCCUCGAAUUCCAAGGGAAUUGGGACGAGCACUUACCUCUGGUAGAAUUUUCCUACAACAAUAGUUUUCACUCGAGCAUCAAGAUGGCUCCUUAUCAAGCCUUGUAUGGGCAGAAGUGUCGUACGCCGUCUUGUUGGCUUGAAGCCGGAGAGAAGCAGUUUAUGGGCCCCGAGAUAGUCCAUGAGACUGCUGAGAAGUUGAAGGUGAUUAGGGAAAGGAUGUUAGCAGCCCAUGAUCGUCAGAAGAGCUAUGCUGACAAGAAAAGAUGACCGACAACCUUCGAAGUUGGGGAUUCGGUAUUGCUAAAGGUCUCACCAUUGAAGGGACUUAUACGAUUUGGGAAACGAGGAAAGUUAAGUCCAAGGUUUAUUGGACCGUUCAAAGUUCUUCAGAAGAUUGGGAACCAAGCUUACAAGCUGGAAUUGCCCGAAGAACUCAAUGGUAUUCAUAACACCUUCCAUGUGUGUUAUUUGAGGAAAUUCACGGGAGAUGUUCCCGACAUAAUUCCAAUCUCAGAGUUAAGGAUGGAUGAGAAUAAAAGGCUGAUCGAAGAGCCUGAGGCAAUUGUUGACCGUAAGACUAAGAAGUUACGAUGCAAGAUGGUCGACUUAGUGCUAGUCCGAUGGAAACAUUCGAAUGGGCCGAAUCUCACUUGGGAAACAGAGGAUGACAUGAUGAGUCGCUAUCCACAUCUGUUUGCUGAUGCAUGAUUCCGGGACGGGAUCAUCCUAAGGGGGAGAGAAUUGUAACGCCCGGGUUUCAGGGCUAAGCAUAUUUGUCAAUGUAAUAGUCUAGGUCAACUAUUGUAACUCUUUUUGAAGUAAUAAAGAUGAAAUAUUUGAGUAUUAUGUGUGUUUAUGUGUUUAUUAUUUAAUUAUAAAUGUAUAAUUAAUAAAGAAUAAAAAUAAGCGUCAAAAUUAAAGUGUGAGAUAAGUCCGAUAUCUUUACAUAAAUUUGUAGUGGUCAAAACAAGUAUUCCGGGGAUAUAAGGAACGCUGAAAUCCGAGUUAUAACGAAGAAGUUAUGACCCGUCGAAGUUUCGUGUUAGAACCGGCACGAUACCGGUAAGCGUAAAUAGUGAAUUUAUGAUAGAGCGAGAUUUAGCCUUAGCGAUCUAAACAAAAGUUGUAGAAUAUGUUAAACUAAGAACAUCGAUAAAAAGAACGCCCAAAUCUGACUUCGUAUGAAGAAGUUAUGAUUUUUCGAAGUUUCGGAUUAGCAGUGUACAGCCCCAAAUUCAAAUAUUAGAUUGAGUGAUUUUUAGCCAACAUGAUCUAAACGAGAAUCGAAGAUCUCGUUAAGAGUAGCGUAAGGAGAAAAAGAUGGGCGAAAACGGAUGUCGGAUGAAGAAGUUAUGAGGAUUUAACGGACCAAUCCUGUCCCGGCCCGUUAAUAAUAUAAAAUUUAAAAUCGAGUCAAAAUUAGCUGACGGAGUCUAAACGAAAGUUGUAGAGUACGUUCCCACCUUCGUGUGGAUAUAAAGAAUGUCGAAAACGGAGCUCGUACGCAAAAGUUACAAAUUUUUAAAGAUUGUUCUUGAUUUUGCGAAAUCUGAUACGAAGUCGCAGACGUGGCGCUUUCCCAGCCGUCCGAUGAUAAUCGUUGAAGUCGCCUCGGAUCGUGACACGUAGCCCCGUCGCUACAUCCAACGUCCGGUCUCGUACGCGCCGCAUUCGCAUAGCCAUGUUCGGUCCAGCUUGAGCUACGUCGCACCAUCCGGAGUCUGCCACCUCGCAUCUUAUCCGAACCAUUACGCCCAGCGUACCGAGGCCUCGCAGGCUAUAUAAAGGGCCGAAGGAAGCUUCAUUUUUCACACCAAAUUCCAUUCUCUCUCUAGUUUCUUUCUCUCUCUACAACCCCAAACCCCCCCUAAACCCUAGAUAAACCCCCUAGCACCCUAAGGAAGCCUCGAGGCUCCCGGAGUCCCAAGAAAAAUGAGUCUUUCGGUUUCGAAACGCUGCUCCAAAUAAGUUCCGGUUUUCGAUAAAAUUCGCUGUAAGUGUGCUACGCUUACGCAAUUUUUUAUAUAGCUUUCAAAUAAUUAUAGGAAUGUUAUUAGGUCCUUAAAAUAAUUAUUUGGGCUAUUAUUAUGAGUUAUAUUGAGUGUUAUUAACGCUUAAUAAUAGUCAGACUAAUUAAUUUGUCGCGGUUAUCGUUAGACUAAACCCUAGUGGUAUUGGUACUAGGUUUUAUCGAAGGAAAAUCGUUUUGAGAGUAUCGAAGCGCUGUCCGAGUGCUGAGUCACCACCUUUCAGGUGAGUGCAUAGUUACUUUCAGCUUACACAUAGAUAUGAAGUAUUUUAUAUAAAUUACGUGCUAUGUGUGCAUAUUAUCUGAAUACUUGCUAUCUAUGCUGGAUGAACAUUGUUAUACAUGUUUUCAAUGAUUUAAACUGUAUAUGUAUUUUAUAUCUACGAAAAUGUUGGGGUAAAACAUGGGUAGAUGUAAUAGGUGAUGUGUGAUAAAAUGAUGAGAGGCCUCGAUGUUGAUGUUGUUGAUUCUGUCAUCUAGCGGAGUAUGGAUGACGACCACGGACUCUUCUAGACAGUCCAGUGGAACACUAGCAGGCUCGCAACCUGUAGGUGUUUGUGAACGAUGUGUUCACCGAUGUACUCCAUCCCCCACAUGGUUGCCUUUAGGACAUUUA